rnacentral:rRNA from 1 species
CCUACGGGUGGCAGCAGUGAGGAAUAUUGGUCAAUGGACGAGAGUCUGAACCAGCCAAGUAGCGUGAAGGAUGACUGCCCUAUGGGUUGUAAACUUCUUUUAUAUGGGAAUAAAAUGUUCCACGUGUGGGAUUUUGUAUGUACCAUAUGAAUAAGGAUCGGCUAACUCCGUGCCAGCAGCCGCGGUAAUACGGAGGAUCCGAGCGUUAUCCGGAUUUAUUGGGUUUAAAGGGAGCGUAGGUGGAUUGGUAAGUCAGUUGUGAAAGUUUGCGGCUCAACCGUAAAAUUGCAGUUGGAACUGGCAGGCUUGAGUGCAGUAGGGGUAGGCGGAAUUCGUGGUGUAGCGGUGAAAUGCGUAGAUAUCAGGAGGAACACCGAUGGCGAAGGCGGUCCGCUGGACUGCAACUGACGCUGAGGCUCGAAAGUGUGGGGAGCAAACAGGAUUAGAUACCCUGGUAGUC